rnacentral:lncRNA from 1 species
CUCCUUCAAGCACUUUAGUUCCUGGCAUUAGUGUCAGAUGUGCCUGAGAGGCUUGAAAUAUUUGUUCCUUUAGUUUUGCAAUAUCCAAAGAUAAAUUUCCAAUAUGACCUUUUAAAUGUUUCUUAACUUUUUUCCACUCAUGCUCUGUUUCAUUAUACAGAUGAUGUUUUCUCUUGCCUGAAUUUGAGCUUCAUCAGCCCACCAAGUUUUAAACUGCAAGUACUGAGACGGACUAAUGGCUUGUUUAAAUUCCUUUAAUAACUUAAAUAUAGCCCAAUUAGCUAUAUUCUGUGUCUGUGCACAUUCCAGUAGCUAGGACUACAGGCAUGCCACUACACCUGGCUAAUUUUUAAAUUGUUUUUAUUUUUUAAAAAGACCAGUGUGGUAGUAUAAUUUCUUUAAAUUUUUUAUAGAGACAGGGUUUCGCUAUGUUGCCUAGGCUGGUCUUGAACUCCUGACCUCAAGCAAUUCUCCUUCCUUGGCCUCCCAAAGUUCUGGGAUUAUAGUCGUGAGCCACCAAGCC